GGUUUCCUCCCACAGUCCAAAGACAUGCAGUUUUAGAGAGAUGCUACAUGUUCUCGUCUGGAUCCUUGUGCACCAAUUCUCAGGUAUAUUAUUGUAUAUUCCCUGAGGCGCUGCAGGUUACAGUACCUUUACUUUGAAGGCACAGCAGCAGUGCACGACCUGGGAAUCAAAACUACAACCUCAGAGUUGCAAGCCCAGUUCUCUGACCAUUACGCUGCACUACCAACCAGGGGGCCUUACAUCCAGAGUGUAAUAUAGGCUUCCUGCUUCAGAAUCUGUCACUGCUGUGUCUCUGUUUA